rnacentral:rRNA from 1 species
UACGUAGGGGGCAAGCGUUGUCCGGAAUCAUUGGGCGUAAAGAGCGUGUAGGCGGCCAGAAAAGUCCGCUGUGAAAACUCGAGGCUCAACUUCGAGCUGUCGGUGGAAACCAUCUGGCUAGAGUCCGGAAGAGGAGAAUGGAAUUCCCGGUGUAGCGGUGAAAUGCGCAGAUAUCGGGAAGAACACCCGUGGCGAAGGCGGUUCUCUGGGACGGUACUGACGCUGAGACGCGAAAGCGUGGGGAGCGAACAGG